rnacentral:rRNA from 1 species
UCCGUAGGUGAACCUGCGGAGGGAUCAUUACCGAGUUUACAACUCCCAAACCCAAUGUGAACGUUACCAAACUGUUGCCUCGGCGGGGUCACGCCCCGGGUGCGUAAAAGCCCCGGAACCAGGCGCCCGCCGGAGGAACCAACCAAACUCUUUCUGUAGUCCCCUCGCGGACGUAUUUCUUACAGCUCUGAGCAAAAAUUCAAAAUGAAUCAAAACUUUCAACAACGGAUCUCUUGGUUCUGGCAUCGAUGAAGAACGCAGCGAAAUGCGAUAAGUAAUGUGAAUUGCAGAAUUCAGUGAAUCAUCGAAUCUUUGAACGCACAUUGCGCCCGCCAGUAUUCUGGCGGGCAUGCCUGUCCGAGCGUCAUUUCAACCCUCGAACCCCUCCGGGGGAUCGGCGUUGGGGAUCGGGACCCCUCACCGGGUGCCGGCCCUGAAAUACAGUGGCGGUCUCGCCGCAGCCUCUCCUGCGCAGUAGUUUGCACAACUCGCACCGGGAGCGCGGCGCGUCCACGUCCGUAAAACACCCAACUUCUGAAAUGUGACCUCGGAUCAGGUAGAUCCCCUUG